rnacentral:lncRNA from 1 species
GAUCACUCCCCUGGGCGAUGUGGGAUGUUACAAUUUUACAUGUUUAGAAAAAUGGGGUAAGCAUAAAAUGCCCAGUAGCUGUAAGUCCGUAGUCAUUUAAAAUCUCUAGUGCAUGCCGAAAGUUAUAAAAGUGAUUCAAAACCGUUUAUUCUCACCACCACAUAGUCCAACAAUUUGAAAUAUGCUAAAAAAUUUAUGGAAAGUAACAUAUGAUAGAAAAACCAAAGGUUUCGGAGCAUUAGCAGCAUGAUAACAACCGUACAACACACAAGUUCAAAAAUCACUUCUUUUGUCAUAAGGAUAACAAAGCCAUUAUCAUUGAAAGAAUCACUAGCACACCCAAAUCACAAAGAUCUUCUUUUAUCCCAAACAAGUGACAAGCAGAUUGGAAAGAACCGUAAUAUACCUGGCCAAUAUACAUAUCACAUGUAUUUAUCACUUUCGUAACUCAUUCUCACAGCCCCCCACACAUGGAGCUUUCCCCGGGAAACCUUGGGUCAUUGUGCCCAUAAUCAAACAACUUCACGGGUCAUUGUGCCCAUUCAUACAUUUCUCAACAUUCUCAACUGCACAGGUAUUACACUACUUUCCAUCUACUUUCACAAUUUGAACAUUCAUAUUGAGAUGCUUCAGUAUGUGGUAUUGAGUAAAAUAAGAGGCCUGCACAUCCAAACAAAAUCUUGAAAAAUCAUUUCAAUCACUUUAAACUCACCAAAGUUGUAGUAACGGAAUUUGAAUCAUUAAGAUCAAGCCAUAGUGAAAUAUUUUCUCCACUUCUUUCACAUAAUCGAAAAAUAAAACAUUUUAAGUAAGCUUAAAAAAAAUGUUCAAAUGCCAUCAAUCCUUGAUCAAGUAAAAAUGAAAAACCAAAAUAUUUUAUUUUUGAUUAAAACUCCCCUACCUCAACACAAUUUCUUGAUAUUCAACUUUCAGGGUGUUCGUCGACUUGUGUCGUCCCCUUGUCCUUCUCUUCCUUAUCUAUAAACAAGAAAAAUCAUUACACACCACUUAUACAAAUAUCUAACAACAUACCCUAAUUCAAGGUUAAUUGGGGACUUAAAUCAGACACUUGGUGCUCAACUCUAAAACUAUAACAUGAACUAUGAUACCUUCAUGUUCUUUUACUCCUACCCAAACUAAUUCAUGGGUUAACAAACCAUAAAAAUCAAAUAGAUCCCAAAGGUAAGAAAUAGAUACCUUAAAUGGAGACAAAGGAAAGAUCCUCACUUGUUCUAAUCUUCACAAGCAAAGAAAACUAAACUCCUCUUCCUUAGAUUUCCUUUUUGACAAGUGAAGAGCUAAAAGGGGUAAACCCCUUUCAUUACUUUCGGCUGGAGGGAAGGCAGGAAUGGAAAAUAGCUAAAUGGGGAUUCCUAGAACCCAUCCCUUUUUUUAUAUCCCAAACGUCAACUUUACCCCUUUUUUUUUAAUGGCCAAAGGCCAAUUGAUCUAACCUCAAAUAAGGCAAAUCAAUUUUUGCUAACAAAGACCUCAAGUGAUUCACUCUUAAUC